GGGGUUGUGGCUCAGUGGUAGAGUGCUCACCUAGCGCAUGUGAGGCACUGGGUUUGAUCCUCAGCACCACA
rnacentral:tRNA from 1 species